rnacentral:rRNA from 1 species
GAUGAACGCUGGCGGCGUGCCUAAUACAUGCAAGUCGAGCGAACAGAUGAGGAGCUUGCUCCUCUGACGUUAGCGGCGGACGGGUGAGUAACACGUGGAUAACCUACCUAUAAGACUGGGAUAACUUCGGGAAACCGGAGCUAAUACCGGAUAAUAUAUUGAACCGCAUGGUUCAAUAGUGAAAGACGGUUUUGCUGUCACUUAUAGAUGGAUCCGCGCCGCAUUAGCUAGUUGGUAAGGUAACGGCUUACCAAGGCAACGAUGCGUAGCCGACCUGAGAGGGUGAUCGGCCACACUGGAACUGAGACACGGUCCAGACUCCUACGGGAGGCAGCAGUAGGGAAUCUUCCGCAAAGGGCGAAAGCCUGACGGAGCAACGCCGCGUGAGUGAUGAAGGUCUUCGGACCGUAAAACUCUGUUAUUAGGGAAGAACAAAUGUGUAAGUAACUAUGCACGUCUUGACGGUACCUAAUCAGAAAGCCACGGCUAACUACGUG